GCAUCUUCUGAUCACACUCCAGUGAGGAAAUUAAGGACGGCACGUUGUCCUUGUAACGAUGAUCCAGCAGGGUUGCCACCCAGUAAUCAGCACAAGUUAGAAUUUGGGCAACUUGGCAGUCGUUGCGCUGGCACUUUGGUGACUCUACAUAGCCUUGGGCCGACUGCAUGUCCCCGUGACGGCGCAUUCGGAUGUCUGCCCUAUCAACUUUCGAUGUUACUUUCUGUACCUACCAUGGUGACCACGGGUAACAGGGAAUCAGGGUUCAAUUCCGGAGAGGGAGCCUGAGAAAUGGCUACCACAUCCAAGGAAGGCAGC